UACGGGGGGAGCAAGCGUUGUUCGGAUUUACUGGGCGUAAAGGGCGCGUAGGCGGCCUGUGCAAGUCAGUUGUGAAAUCUCCGGGCUUAACUCGGAACGGUCAACUGAUACUGCUCGGCUAGAGUGCGGAAGGGGCAACUGGAAUUCUUGGUGUAGCGGUGAAAUGCGUAGAUAUCAAGAGGAACACCUGCGGCGAAGGCGGGUUGCUGGGCCGACACUGACGCUGAUGCGCGAAAGCUAGGGGAGCGAACGGG
rnacentral:rRNA from 1 species